AUAAUAAGAUUUACAUGCUCUGAAAAUGACCUUUUUGUCUAAAACUCUACGAAAAACAUGGCCGCGGUGUGCAAAUAAUGAGUUGCUUAUUUCAAAACUGUCCUAUUAUUCUUCAGUAAAACUUCUUGUUAAUUUAAGACUCUAAUAACUUGCUUGACAUACCCAUAGGCAAAUAUCUGUUAUCGGUGUAAUUACACCUUUGGAGAAAAGCGUGAUUCGCACGUUUUAAUUUCAUAAUUCGCCGCCUGAAGAGACAAGAUGGCGGAGCUUGCGAAAUCGAAAAUUGGUACUUGAAAGUCAAUGGUUGAUCAUGAUGACCAUCUUUUAUUUAAUGGAGAAAGAAACCAAUAUUUGCAGCUGGACAGGUUGUCACCACAGUUCAAUGAUUUAGGUCAGACAUCAGCUUUUGAAGUUGCUUUCUUGGCACAUCAUGCUGUCCAGUGGAGUUCAUACCAUAUGCCAGGCCUUUAUACAUGGUCAAAGAAGAUGAAUUUAUUAUUCAAUUUGUGAAAUUUGAUUUAGCGAGGACUUUCAUAUAUGAUGAUUAUAUUCAGCAGAUUAUCUUCAAGUGUGCACUUUAUAGAAUCACAGUUUCUAGGAGGUUUUCAGUUUAAAGUUAGAUUAAUUGAAAAAUAAGGGGAGCUAUCGUACUCACCAUGGUAUUGACAUUGGCAUUACACCAGGUUUAAGUUUUUCUUACCAGUCCAUAUUUUAAAAGGGCCUUUUGACAGUAUUGAAACUUAAAACAGUAAUGUAUCAUCAUUAUACCAAGUUUUAGGCAAGAGUACAUAACUCCAUCAAGGAUUUGACUGAACUAUGGCCCUUUGAAACUUUUGUCACUUGUUUAUAAUAAUAGUCUCUCUAUAUAGGCAAGAGUUCAUAACACUAUAGAGUAUUUUGGAUGAAUUAUGUCCCUUUUGGACUUUGAAAUUGGUUCAGUUUUUGUACAAGUCCACAUUUUGACAAAACAUUUUGACAUAUAGCUUUGAAUCUUUCAACACUAAGUCUUACCAUUACAAUAAUAUAACUUAAAGUAGUUGUUCAACAUCAUCAAUCAUCACCCACAUCAUAUUACACAAGAUGCAUAACUCUUGCACUAAAAUUUAAUGAAUUGUGCCCGUUUUGCUUAAAAUGUACUUUGUAUAGUGUUUUGAUACACUUUAUCUUUAUCUCUCAUAUUACUUAAUAUUUUUAAAACAGACUUAGUUAUUAUGCAAUAUCUUCAUCCGCCGUUGGAGUCAUUAAACACAACAGUGACAGCUCCAGUGUUCUCAGAUGUGCCCAGGCUCCCUAUCCAACACCGAAAUAGUCGAGCAUGCUAACUGAGACAAUCAGGUAGAUGACAAUCAGGUAGAUAACUAUGGACAGAUUUUAUGUCAAAUCACCUCCCUUUAUUUCAAAUUGAAAUGGGUACAUCAGUGUAACUAAUGAAGAUACUGUUAUGCCAUCAGAUUGACUUGGACAGUCAGUGAAGAUACAUAUUGACUGAAUUUAUGACAAAAGUACCUCCCUUUAUUUUUUAUGUAAAUGAAUAUAUUUAGCAGCUUCUAAUGAAAUUGGUUUGAAAGGUUUUUAUGUCUUCCAUGGUAAGAUAUAGUCAUGUUAGAUAACUCUUGCUUGAAUGUUUAUAGAUAUGAAUACUUCUCUUAUAUAUUAUUGUGAAACUUGUACUGUGUAUCUUCUACAUGCAUGUACCAAUACAUGAUUACCUUCCCUGAUUUUUAUAAAAAUGGAUUUAUCUCAGUAACAAUAUAUAGGAC